GCUGAAGAACGUAGCGAAAUGCGAUAAGUAGUGUGAAUUGCAGAAUUCAGUGAAUCAUCGAAUCUUUGAACGCACAUUGCGCCCCAUGGUAUUCCGUGGGGCAUGCCUGUUCGAGCGUCAUUUACCCCCUCAAGCUCCGCUUGGUGUUGGGCGUCUGUCCCGCUUCGCGCGCGGACUCGCCCCAAAGGUAUUGGCAGCGGUCGUGCCAGCUUCUCGCGCAGCACAUUGCGCUUCUCGAGGCACCGGUGGGCCCGCGUCCAUCAAGCUCACCCCCCCAGUUUGACCUCGGAUCAGGUAGGGAUACCCGCUGAACUUAAGCAUAUCAAUAAGCGGAGGA
rnacentral:misc_RNA from 1 species